GACUGAUUAAAGCUGCGUGGCUUAUAGAGGACAGACACUUGAGCCGUGUAGUAGGCAGCAAACUCUGCUCCUUUGGCCACAGAGUUCAGAGCACUAAGUGGAUUUCUUGCCUCAUACCUCACCUAUUCAUCCACCACUGCAUCAGUGGAUACAGUCCAGCUUUCGAGGCUUGUUUUAAGUUGCCUGCGACUCUUACUUGGACACAGGCAGCUAAAGCAAGUCUGGGACGCCAGAGACACACCUACAGAGCCGUGACCUGAGGACCUGCUGCCACGUGACGGAACGGAAAAUACAUCUUUUAUAGUCCAGGCGGAAGGGACAUGGGAAAUUUGCUAAUUCAUUUUGCAUUGAUGGGUUGCACAAGAUGUUCUCCUCUUUGUCUGAGAGGAAAAUCCUUGAAAAGCCUGAUUAUGUGAGCAGGGACUUAUAUGUACAAACUUGCAUGCUAUAGCCUAAAUAUGUAGUUAAAUAAACAAAAUGUCAUACAAGUAUACUGUAUAGCCUACAGUAUACUCAGUACUGUGUGUGUUUGCUUUUGUGCUUUUCUGAGUUCAGUUAGGUGACACAUCACGGAGCAAACACUAAAAUAGAUAAUGAAUAAUUAGGUUUACUUUCAGUACUUUCAGGGAAAGAUAUAUGCAAAGCAUAAAGUGAUGGUUUUCUGUUGGUAAAUGUAUUGUAACUUAAUUUCAAUGUAUUAUUUCUUGUUUAAAAUAAUUUAAUUUAUUGUUUGUGAGUUUUUCAGGUCAAAUGUUUGGCUUUUGAGACUUGAAACACUGACAUUAUUUUCAAAAUUUCCACUUUUCCGAGUGAAAGCUAUGAGAAUCCAUGUAAUGUCUUCAGAACUGAACGUGAAUUUAGAUUCCUGCAGCACUGAUCAGUCUUUUCAUGUCAUGGCACAUAUAUAUAUAUUGCAUUUUCAACAAGACAAACCAGAUGCCAAACCACACAAGAUCCCAGCAGAGAUGCAAAUGUGUUAAUGUCAAUAUUAGAGAGUUUGCAUAAUUCUCUGUUUGGAUGUUUUUAAGUGAUUCUGUGGCCUGUUUUUACCAUGAUUAGAUCACUUUCAGUGGAGCUACAGACAAGAAAACAUGAGGAGAAAGAGGUAUGAUACGCAACAAAUGUGCCUCACCUGCCACUGUGGCAUGCAGGUCACUGAACAUUUCUACCGUUCACUUAAGUUUUUGUCUGCCAAAUCUAUGUAGAACUUUACCAGACGGUAGAAAUGUGGAAUAUAUCAUGUAGCCUUAAUCUCUGACUAUUUCUAAUUUAGGAAUUUCUUUUUUAAAAAUAAUAUUUCUAUAUAUAAGGAAAUCUGCCAUGGUGACAGGUGACCUGGAAUUUGUACCUGCUACAGCCAAAAUGUACCCUGUAUGUAUUUGGCAGGUGGUAGAUGCUGUUUUCAUUCCCUGAAUAAAUCACUAAAGCUUUUAUUUAUGCACAAACCUUUAUCAUGCCAGCUGUUUUUUUUUUUAUCACACAUUUCCGCUUUAAAUGUUGCUUUUAAACACCCACAGGUGCUGCAGAGCAGAGAAUAGACUUCAGAUUAUAACACUAUAGUCCUGGAUUGAUCCCAUUGAACACUAUUAGAGAUUAUGUGUUGAAUUCAUUAUGUGAUAUAAAUCAGUUGAUACAAAUCAUUCAAAUGCCAUUUAAUUACAGCGUUGUGCUGUUUUAUCAGCCUCAUGUUAUUUGUCUGUAAUGUCAACAUUAUUUGCACCUAAAUCUAAUGUUUGUUGAGUUGUUCUUCCUGUCUGUGUUACUGGGAAAACUGAUGGAUUUUAAAGGCUAUAACAGUUUUAAUGAUAAUAAUAAUAAUAAUAUAUAUAAUAUACACUGGUAACACUUAGUGGCAGCUAUAUCCUCCUGAGACCUAGCCCAUUGACAUGUGUCCUCUGUAGUGGACAUUUUGUCCAAGUGCAUAUCCUUUUACUCUUUUGCCUUACUCGAUCAACCCCUGGUAUUGUAAAGAGAACAUCAUGGGCUUUCCAGUGAUAUGGCAUGUGUUUUCUUUAAUUAAGUUGAAUGUAUUCUAGGUUUAAUA